rnacentral:ncRNA from 1 species
CCGCCUUCGGCGGAAAGGUGAAAAGGGAAUCCGGACCGGUGCAAGCCGCAACCGGAGCUGCCCCCGCAACUGUACUCGGCGAGUGUCGCGCCACACAGCCACUGCUCCGCAUAGUCGGAUCGGGAAGGCGGCGCGGGAUGUCGACCCGAAAGCCAGGAGACCUGCCAUGUCGGAU